rnacentral:rRNA from 1 species
UACGUAGGGGGCAAGCAUUGUCCGGAUUUAUUGGGCGUAAAGAGCGUGUAGGCGGCCAGAUAGGUCCGUUGUGAAAACUCGAGGCUCAACCUCGAGACGCCGAUGGAAACCAUUUGGCUAGAGUCCGGAAGAGGAGAGUGGGAAUUCCUGGUGUAGCGGUGAAAAUGCGCAGAUAUCAGGAAGAACACCCGUGGCUAAGGCGGCUCUCUAGUACGGUACUGACGCUGAGACGCGAAAAGCGUGGGGAGCGAACAGG